rnacentral:rRNA from 1 species
GACGAACGCUGGCGGCGUGCUUAACACAUGCAAGUCGAACGGAAAGGCCCUGCUUUUGUGGGGUGCUCGAGUGGCGAACGGGUGAGUAACACGUGAGUAACCUGCCCUUGACUUUGGGAUAACUUCAGGAAACUGGGGCUAAUACCGGAUAGGAGCUCCUGCUGCAUGGUGGGGGUUGGAAAGUUUCGGCGGUUGGGGAUGGACUCGCGGCUUAUCAGCUUGUUGGUGGGGUAGUGGCUUACCAAGGCUUUGACGGGUAGCCGGCCUGAGAGGGUGACCGGCCACAUUGGGACUGAGAUACGGCCCAGACUCCUACGGUAGGCAACAGUGGGGAAUAUUGCACAGUGGGCGGAAGCCUGAUGCAGCAACGCCGCGUGCGGGAUGACGGCCUUCGGGUUGUAAACCGCUUUCGCCUGUGACGAAGCGUGAGUGACGGUAAUGGGUAAAGAAGCACCGGCUAACUACGUG